rnacentral:lncRNA from 1 species
GAGCUGAGUGUAAGCACCUCUUCCUAGCCCCAUUUUGGUAGCUCUACGCUGGCCAUAGUGGGAGUAUUCAUUCAUUCCAUCCUGCCAUGAAAAUCUAGGCCCCACUAUGAAAAUCAGGGUCUUUUUUCCUGGGAGCUGAUGGUUAAACAUUCAUGAACACACCUUUGGGGUUAUUCUACUACUUUUUAGAUUUGUUGCAUUUCCCUCCAGGGUUCAGGAGACAGAAACUAUCCCCACAAACUAAACACCAGCCCCAAAGUUAAUAUUAUGUCCCUUUUUCUUUUCUUUUCUUUUCUUUUUUGAUCAUUUAAAAAUUUUGAAUUAUAUUUAUUGAAACAUGACAUACUGUGCUCUUAUACCUCAAUUACAUUUUGUUCUGUUUUCCAAGUUCAUGUCUUAUAAAUCUCUUGUAUAAACUGUAGGUUAAAUUCAAAAUAAAAAAUCACAGUGUAAAAAAAAUCCAUUCUUUGCUGCGGAGAAUGGCAUGAGUAAAUUUAGGAAGGCCAGUUAGGAGACUACCGAAGAAUCCUAGGGAGGAGGACAUGAUGGCUUGAGCUAAGGUUGUGUUAACAAUUCACACACAGGAAAUGAAACACACAUGUAAAAUCAGAGAAUUGAAAUCUUUAAAUUUCAAAUUAGAAUUGGAUAUAUCAGUGGGAACUCAUGAGUUUUUCCCUCUCUUUAAAAACGUAUUAUUUUACAGCUUUAUUAAAAAUGCCUCAAAAUAAGGAAGGCCUAAAAGCAAUUGUCCUUCCCAGUG